rnacentral:rRNA from 1 species
UAAGGAAUAUUGGACAAUGCCCGCAAGGGUGAUCCAGCCAUGCCGCGUGCAGGAAGACGGCCCUAUGGGUUGUAAACUGCUUUUGUACCAGAGAAAACCCCCGCUCGUGAGUGGGGCUGAUAGUAUGGUAAGAAUAAGCAUCGGCUAACUUCGUGCCAGCAGCCGCGGUAAGACGAAGGAUGCAAGCGUUAUCCGGAUUCAUUGGGUUUAAAGGGAGCGUAGGUGGCCUUAUAAGUCAGUGGUGAAAUCUCUCAGCUUAACUGAGAAAUUGCCAUUGAUACUGUAGGGCUUGAGUACAGAUGCCGUUGGCGGAAUAUGACAUGUAGUGGUGAAAUACAUAGAGAUGUCAUAGAACACCGAUUGCGAAGGCAGCUGACGAAACUGUAACUGACACUGAGGCUCGAAAGUGCGGGGAUCAAACAGG